CUUAACCCUUGUAAAGCGCACAGCUUUCUUCGCCUCCUGGUUUUCUACGUCCUCUGACGGCGCAGGUGGCAAGGGAAUGAUCAAAGAAACAUAGUGACCUGGAUUCAUCUUCAUAACCUCACUAGCCAUAACAGACCAAGUUGAAAUGAAAGGAUGAUAGAGAUAAGGAGGAGUAGGAGUGAAGGAAGGAUGGAGAGGGUGAAGUAAGCAGCAGUCUCUUUCUGUACAGCUCCAGCAGCAGGCCUUUGUCUCGUUUCCCAACUAACUAAUUCUACAUGGUGUGUGGGUCAAGUUUAAAAUCAAAGUUGACAUUUAAAGACGGCAAUGUAUUUAUAUAAUUGCUUUAGGACAUCAAUUUAAUUAGGUAUGCAUUGUUAAUUCAUCAUCGGAGCUUGGGAGCUGGUGGGGGUGCCACGUGGAGAAAUGUCAGGUGGAGGGAGCAUGGAGAUCCAGUUUGCUACAGUAGCUUGUAGCUUUACCUGAGGAGUUAAGGACUCUGCUGUGGAAGUCACUCCAGUGACCGUGCAGUUUCAAUCACAGGCAUCCACUAUAUUUAUCACUGUGGGGUUCAAUAUGUUUUUUUACUUUAGUAAUCACAUUGGACGAUCUUGAUUGAAACUGUAAAAAAAAAUGCAUAAUAUCUUAUUGUGGGGCCAUGUCCAUUUUGGAGCUA